UACGUAGGGGCCGAGCGUUGUCCGGAGUUAUUGGGCGUAAAGCGCGCGCAGGCGGCCUCGCGCGCCCGACGUGAAAGCCCCCGGCUUAACCGGGGAGGGUCGUUGGGGACGGCGGGGCUUGAGGGCGGGAGAGGUCGGUGGAAUUCCCGGUGUAGUGGUGAAAUGCGUAGAGAUCGGGAGGAACACCUGUGGCGAAGGCGGCCGACUGGGCCGACCCUGACGCUGAGGCGCGAAGGCGUGGGGAGCAAACGGG
rnacentral:rRNA from 1 species